AACAUUUAAGCCGACAAAAACAUCACCAACUCAUCAUUACCAGUGGGGAUUGAUGCUGUCAAAUGGCGAGGAAAAGGUUGCAGCCUCAAAUACUGAGUAUUUCGAGCGAAAGGGAGCCGAGCAUUCACCUAGCUCAGCAUCAGUGAACAUGGCUAUGGCUAACGAGUCGAAAACAGUACGCAGAAAUGGAGAGCUAAGCGAAUGAUAGCUAGAUGGUAGGAAGGCGUGACAGGCCGCAUCCUGAACGUGUACUUGGAUGUGUAGGAUUGGUCAUCAACAUAAUGUGAAAGGCAAUCAAAAAGAUGCGAUUGUGAAAUAAAAUCCAUCUCCCUCCGCUGUCGGGGGAACACAUAUUUUGACUCAUUGACAUCUGUCAAAAUUCAAAGUGAGGAGAAGAAAACAUCAUCUCUUCCCAGAGAAUGAGUGAAUAAACUGACGUGGAUGAAGGGAAACGAUGAUAUGGAUGAAAACACUGUAACUGAAACAGCCAACCAACAGCUGUUGACUGAACUGCUCUCUAAUAAAGAUUGUUCUGUGCCAUAAAA